rnacentral:rRNA from 1 species
CUCGUAGGCGGUUCGUCGCGUCCGGCGUGAAAGUCCAUCGCUUAACGGUGGAUCCGCGCCGGGUACGGGCGGGCUUGAGUGCGGUAGGGGAGACUGGAAUUCCCGGUGUAACGGUGGAAUGUGUAGAUAUCGGGAAGAACACCAAUGGCGAAGGCAGGUCUCUGGGCCGUCACUGACGCUGAGGAGCGAAAGCGUGGGGAGCGAACA